GCUUCAUAGCUCAGUUGGUAGAGCAUCGCACCUGCAACGCGGAGGUCAUGGGUUCAAAUCCCGUUUAAGGAAACA